GUGACAGGUGCUGCAUGGCUGUCGUCAGCUCGUGUCGUGAGAUGCUGGGUUAAGUCCCGCAACGAGCGCAACCCUCGUCCUUAGUUGCCAUCAUUAAGUUGGGCACUUUAAGGAAACUGCCGGUGAUAAGCCGGAGGAAGGUGGGGAUGACGUCAAGUCCUCAUGGCCCUUACAGGCUGGGCUACACACGUGCUACAAUGGCAUCUACAGUGGGCAGCUAUUCCGCAAGGAUGCGCUAAUCUCCAAAAGAUGUCUCAGUUCGGAUUGUCCUCUGCAACUCGAGGGCAUGAAGGCGGAAUCGCUAGUAAUCGCGGAUCAGCAUGCCGCGGUGAAUACGUUCCCAGGCCUU
rnacentral:rRNA from 1 species